rnacentral:rRNA from 1 species
UACGUAGGGGGCAAGCGUUGUCCGGAUUUAUUGGGCGUAAAGAGCGUGUAGGCGGCCAAGCAGGUCCGCUGUGAAAACUCGAGGCUCAACCUCGAGACGUCGGUGGAAACCGUUUGGCUAGAGUCCGGAAGAGGAGAGUGGAAUUCCCGGUGUAGCGGUGAAAUGCGCAGAUAUCGGGAAGAACACCCGUGGCGAAGGCGGCUCUCUGGGCCUGUUCUGACGCUGAGGAGCGAAAGCGUGGGGAGCGAACAGG